rnacentral:misc_RNA from 1 species
CACGUGAACCCCAAGCGUUAUCCGGAUUUAUUGGGCGUAAAGGGUGUGUAGGCGGCACUAUUAGUCUUUUGUUAAAUCCCUCAGCCCAACUGAGGCACGGCAAAGGAAACGGUAGUGCUUGAGGAUGCGAGAGGUGCACGGAACUCAUGGUGUAGAGGUGAAAUUCGUUGAUAUCAUGGGGAACGCCAAAGGCGAAGGCAGUACACUGGCGCAUUCCUGACACUGAGACACGAAAGCCAGGGUAGCGAACGGG